UAGUGGCGAACGGGUGAGUAAUACAAAAGUAAUCUACCUCGGAGUGGGGUAUAAUCCCGCGAAAGCGGGACUAAUUCCCCAUAUUCUCCUAAAACGUCGGUUUUAUGAGGAAAGGCUUCGGUCGCUCUGAGAUGAGCUUUUGGCCCAUCAGCUUGUUGGUGAGGUAACGGCCCACCAAGGCGAUGACGGGUAGGGGGUGUGAGAGCAUGUCCCCCCACAUGGGAACUGCGACACGGUCCCAACUCCUACGGGAGGCAGCAGUCUAGAAAUUUGCGCAAUGGGCGAAAGCCUGACGCAGCGACGCCGCGUGAGGGAUGGAGUCCUUCGGGAUGUAAACCUCUGUUGAGGGGGACGAUUAUGACGGUACCCCUCGAGGAAGCCUCGGCUAACUCCGUGCCAGCAGCCGCGGUAAUACGGAGGAGGCAAGCGUUGUCCGGAAUCACUGGGUGUAAAGGGUGUGUAGGUGGCCUGAUGGGUCAGGUGUGAAAUCUGGUUGCUUAACAACCAAACCGCAUUUGAAACUAUCGGGAUCGAGGGCAUGAGAGGAGAGUGGAACUCGCGGUGUAGCGGUAGAAUGCGUGGAUAUCGCGAGGAAUGCCGAUGGCGAAGGCAGCUCUCUGGGCCGGUCCUGACACUGAAACACGAAAGCUGGGGAGCAAACGGGAUUAGAUACCCCGGUAGUCCCAGCCCUAAACGAUGUACACUUGGCAUAUGCGAUUUCGUAUGUGCCGGAGGUAACCUGUUAAGUGUACCACCUGGGGACUACGCUCGCAAGGGUGAAACUCAAAGGAAUUGACGGGGACCCGCACAAGCGGUGGAGUAUGUGGUUUAAUUCGAGGCAACGCGAAGAACCUUACCUGGGCUUGACAUGCCGAUAGUACUGAGCCGAAAGGCAAGGGAUCCCACCUCGGUGGGAAGUCGGCACAGGUGCUGCAUGGCUGUCGUCAGCUCGUGCCGUGAGGUGUUAGGUUAAGUCCUGCAACGAGCGCAACCCCUGCCAUUAGUUGCCAUUUUGCCGCAAGGUGAAGGCACUCUAAUGGGACUGCCGCAGAUAAUGCGGAGGAAGGUGGGGAUGAUGUCAAGUCCUCAUGGCCUUUAUAUCCAGGGCUACACACGUGCUACAAUGGACGGUACAAAGGGUCGCGAACCUGUAAGGGGGAGCUAACCCCAGAAAACCGCUCUCAGUUCGGAUUGGAGUCUGCAACCCGACUCCAUGAAGUUGGAAUCGCUAGUAAUCGCGGAUCAGAACGCCGCGGUGAAUACGUUCCCGGGCCUUGUACACACCGCCCGUCACACCACGAAAGUUUGUUGUACCAGAAGUCAUUGGGUUAACCCGCAAGGGAGACAGAUGCCGAAGGUAUGGCAGGUAAU
rnacentral:rRNA from 1 species